AUGGACUGCAAGCAAGCACGCCCUCUCCAGACCAGAGCCUGCCCGGGAGGAACCCCGGCAGCUAAGAGCAAGCAGCUGCAGCAGCUGCAACAGCUGCAACAGCUGCCGGGGCUGGCGCACCCCGGCCCGUCGAAGGGCGAGGGGACCGCAUGGCAGUCACCACCGCACUGCACAAAAGGCAGCCCCUAUCUAGGAGGCGCUGGGGCCUGGCGCGGUCCGCGGAGCUCGGGGCGCAGGAGCGCGGGGGCGGGGGGGUGGGGGGUGGGCGAGCUCCGCCUGCAGGGGGCCGGGGGCGCGCCCAGGUGCAGCGGGGAGGGAGGGGGGUGGUGGUGGGAGGAGGAGGGCUCCGCCACGCGCCUAGGAAGAAAGCCUGACUCAUGUCGUGUCGUGGCGGUGGCGGCGGGCUCCUGGGAACUGCAACUCGUGAUGCUGUUGCUGCGGAGAAAAGCCUCAUUACCCAUUCCGCGGGCGGGCAAGGGCGGGGGGGGGGGCGGACACCCACCCCCUCCCCGGGGCGCGCACUCCCGGGCCCCGCCCCGCCCCCUCCCCCUCCCCUGCCGCGCGCCCGCCCGCGCCCGCUCCCGCGCCCGCGCACGCGCACCGGCCGCGAGCGAGAACAGAGCGGACACACCUAACCUGCGCGCGCGCGCCCCGCGCCCCGCCCCCACUCGGGCCGAGCCGCGCAGCCCGACCCGGAUCCGCUCCCCCGCCCGAAGCGCCCCUCCCCUCCCUUCCCCUCCCCUCCCCUCUCUCCGCGGCCUCGGCGCCUCCGCCAGCCUUCGGCAAUUUCCGGCGCUCGGCGAGGCCCGAGGCCCCGCCGCCGCCUCCUCCGCCGGACCCGGCUUUCUGUCUGCGGCGCCGGGGCGCAUGCGCAGACGCCAUCUUCCUCCGUCUCCUUCGCCUGCCCCCUCCCCCUCCCCCCUGCCGCCGCCGCCGCCGCCUCCUCCUCCUCUCGCCGGCGGUCGCCCCUCCUCCUCCUCGUCCUCCUCCUCCUCCUGCGCUCGGGCGCUGGUCCCUCCUCUCCCGCUGCCGCGAGAGACUGGGGGACGCGGCGGAGCCGGAGGAGAGCACUAG
rnacentral:lncRNA from 1 species